rnacentral:rRNA from 1 species
AUGAACGCUGGCGGCGUGCCUAAUACAUGCAAGUCGAGCGAACAGACGAGGAGCUUGCUCCUCUGACGUUAGCGGCGGACGGGUGGGUAACACGUGGAUAACCUACCUAUAAGACUGGGAUAACUUCGGGAAACCGGAGCUAAUACCGGAUAAUAUAUUGAACCGCAUGGUUCAAUAGUGAAAGACGGUUUUGCUGUCACUUAUAGAUGGAUCCGCGCCGCAUUAGCUAGUUGGUAAGGUAACGGCUUACCAAGGCAACGAUGCGUAGCCGGCCUGAGAGGGUGAUCGGCCACACUGGAACUGAGACACGGUCCAGACUCCUACGGGAGGCAGCAGUAGGGAAUCUUCCGCAAUGGGCGAAAGCCUGACGGAGCAACGCCGCGUGAGUGAUGAAGGUCUUCGGAUCGUAAAACUCUGUUAUUAGGGAAGAACAAAUGUGUAAGUAACUAUGCACGUCUUGACGGUACCUAAUCAGAAAGCCACGGCUAACUACGUG